AACGAACGCUGGCGGCAGGCCUAACACAUGCAAGUCGGACGCCGUAGCAAUACGGAGUGGCAGACGGGUGAGUAACACGUGGGAACAUGCCCUUUGGUUCGGAAUAACUCAGGGAAACUUGAGCUAAUACCGGAUAAGCCCGAGAGGGGAAAGAUUUAUCGCCGAAGGAUUGGCCCGCGUCCGAUUAGCUAGUUGGUGAGGUAAUGGCUCACCAAGGCGACGAUCGGUAGCUGGUCUGAGAGGAUGAUCAGCCACACUGGGACUGAGACACGGCCCAGACUCCUACGGGAGGCAGCAGUGGGGAAUAUUGGACAAUGGGCGCAAGCCUGAUCCAGCCAUGCCGCGUGAGUGAUGAAGGCCCUAGGGUUGUAAAGCUCUUUCGCCAGGGACGAUAAUGACGGUACCUGGAUAAGAAGCCCCGGCUAACUUCGUGCCAGCCGCCGCUGUAAAAC
rnacentral:rRNA from 1 species